GUACGGGGGGAGCAAGCGUUGUUCGGAUUUACUGGGCGUAAAGGGCGCGUAGGCGGCCACCGCAAGUCGACUGUGAAAUCUCCGGGCUUAACCCGGAAAGGUCAGCCGAUACUGCGGGGCUAGAGUGCAGAAGGGGCAACUGGAAUUCUCGGUGUAGCGGUGAAAUGCGUAGAUAUCGAGAGGAACACCUGCGGCGAAGGCGGGUUGCUGGGCUGACACUGACGCUGAUGCGCGAAAGCUAGGGGAGCGGACGGG
rnacentral:rRNA from 1 species